rnacentral:misc_RNA from 1 species
CUCUCUCUCUCUCUCUCUCAUUUUGUGGAGUAUUAUUUUAAAACUGAGCAAAUGAUCAAAACAUUAAAGAAUGCACAGAAGGGAAUAAAACAAGAAAGACAGACUACUCAAAUGUAUGGAACUAAUUAAACAGGAUAAACAAGAAUGAGCCCAUAUGAUUUGGAGCCAUAAAUAUGGUGACAGAGCCUGUUUGGCAUUACUGUUGGAACUGCUGUUGAUAAAUCACUUUUUUAAAUAUAGUAG